ACUUGAUAGUCAUAAAGAUGUUUUCCUACUUUGCCAUCUAAACUUUUUGAAAUUUGACUUUUACAUUGCAGGGGACCUCCCUUGAGAGAUCAAUCCCCUGUCCUCCCGCUCUUUGCUCCAUGAGAAAGAUCCACCUACAACCUUGGGUCCUCAGACCAACCAGCCCAAGAAACAUCUCACCAAUUUUAAAUCGGGUAAGCGGCCUCUUUUUACUCUCUUCUCCAGCCUCUCUCACUAUCCCUCAAAUCUCUUUCUACUUUCAAUCUUGGCACCAUCCUUCAAUCUCUCUCUUCUCUUAAUUUCAAUUCCUUUCCUUUUCUGGUAGAGACAGAGGAGAUGCGUUUUAUCCGUGAACCCAAAACUUGUGACUUGUCCCAAAUCCUCCUUCUUUCCCUCCUGCCUGUCCCCUCAGUCCCAACCCCAAGCGUCACUGAGUCUUUUCAAUCUUC
rnacentral:lncRNA from 1 species